rnacentral:tRNA from 1 species
GCAAAUAUAGCUUAGCUGGUAAGGCGCAAUCUUUGCAAGAUUGCGAUCGAGUGUUCGAGUCACAUUGUUCGCU